CCCAUCCAGGAAGGCAGCAGGCGCGCAAAUUACUCAUGUUGUAUCGACGAAGUAGUGACGAGAAAUAAUAGUGGGGUGGGCUUUGCCUACUCUUUCUGUAAUGAGAGCAAUGUAAAAACCUCAUCGAGGAUCAACUGGAGGGCAAGUCUGGUGCCAGCAGCCGCGGUAAUUCCAGCUCCGNAAGCGUGUAUUAAAGUUGUCGCGGUUAAAAAGCUCGUAGUUCAAGUAUUGGUAGGUUGGAUCGGCGCUUGCGGUGAAUGCCGCCUUGAUUGUUCUGAGUCCGGCUGGCCAUCAUUCUGAUGUCAUUGGCGUCAGAUCAUUUACUGUAAAAAAAUUAGGAGUGUUUCAA
rnacentral:rRNA from 1 species